rnacentral:rRNA from 1 species
GAUGAACGCUGGCGGCAGGCUUAACACAUGCAAGUCGAGCGAGCGGCGGACGGGUGAGUAAUGUCUGGGAAACUGCCUGAUGGAGGGGGAUAACUACUGGAAACGGUAGCUAAUACCGCAUACCAUCAGAUGUGCCCAGUUGGGAUUAGCUAGUAGGUGGGGUAAUGGCUAACCUAGGCGCCGCUCCCUAGCUGGUCUGAGAGGAUGACCAGCCACACUGGAACUGAGACACGGUCCAGACUCCUACGGGAGGCAGCAGUGGGGAAUAUUGCACAAUGGGCGCAAGCCGGAUGCAGCCAUUCCGCGUGUGUGAAGAAGGCCUUCGUGUUGUAAAGCACUUUAAGCGAGGAGGCGUUACUCGCAGAAGAAGCACCGGCGAACUCCGGGCCAGCAGCCGCGGUAAUAC